rnacentral:lncRNA from 1 species
ACAUAUCCCUCACCCACUUACUAUGAACUACUUCCCCUAUUCACCUUGAUUUUGAUCCAUGCAAACACUCUCCGAAGGGAGUCCGCUCCUAUGCACGGCACAAAGCCCUGCAUGGACCUCACGGUGUGAACUCUUAGGGACACUAGAGCUAAAAUACAUUAUUUUUCUCUAGCUGAAGUGUUCUAUUUUAAUCAAGAAUAACUUAAUUAUUAAACAAUUAAUUAAUCAUAUUAAUUAAUUUCCAUAUUAAUCAAUUAACAUGCAUACAAUACAAUAUAACCAUUAUAUCAUACUUUUAAUGCAUGAAUAUGUUAACCUAUGGUGGGAUUUUAAAUCUAUAUGACAUUCAAAAUGCACAUACAAAUUUAAAGUAAUUAAAUCAUACAUCACAUGCAUAAAUUAAUAAAAAAAAACACCCUAAAAUAGACUGAUUUUUGGCUCCUAAAUUAAGCUAAGUACUAAAUUAUUACAUAAUUAAUUUGGUGUAGUACAGAACUACUCCCAAAAACUUCGAACCGGCUGAAAAACCAACAAAAACAGCUUGAACCGGCCCAAUUAACCAAACACAAUUAACCAAACAGGCCCAGGCGCACACGGGUCGGGCGCAUGGACGCAAGCGGUGCGUGCAGGCGCAGGCGAGCGCAAGAAGGCGCGGGCGCAGGCGGCGCAGGAGGCCGUGCGGGCGCAGACGAACGCGCGGGUUGCUGGCGGGUCGAAGUCGGGUUUUCGGGUCUGUGACCUUCUUUACCUUUUUUUUUAAUUCUCUCACCCGGUUGAACCAAUUACAGCCUAACUUCUACUCUAAUGACUUUUUUUAAAAAAAAAUUACAAACACUUUGCAAUAAUAAAAAUAAGCCAUUAACGAGGCUAAUUACAAUAAUUAGAACAAAAAACACUUAAUCUAUAGCCAAAAUCAUAAUAUAUCCAUUUUAGUUCAAACCAAAAUUUAUCUAAUAAAUAUGAACCCACCACAUGCAAUUGGGUAAAAAUGAAGCAUGCUCUGAUACCACAUGAUAGAACUAAGUCAUGCACAGCGGAAAAAGAAUCGAAUUUCUACCCUAAUUGCCACAAUUAACAUGUAACCAUAAACUAAUCAAAUUAGGGUUUUAGGAAAUAUUACCUUUGAAGCUUUCAAAAAGUUUGAUAUCUUCUUACCAAUUCAAACCGAGACCACCACUAGUACUCAACUGCUAUCCUCUAAACAAAGAAUCGGGUUGUGGGACCCAAUUUUGUGUAGAAAGUAAUGGAGAUAAAAGGGGGUUAGAAGGUUUCUUUUUUUCUUUGGUUGAGAUGAUGAAAAUGAUAAAAGAGGCAAAAGUCCUUCAACAUUUGAAAACACCUCUAUUUAUAACCUAAUUACAUGCAUUUUUGCAUGUAAUUCAUUUGUCAAAUCUCAACACCUAAUGUUCCACUAACAAUUAGUGGAACUUAGUGGGCUAGGUGUCUAUAUCUCAUAUAGCCACAUAUCCCAC